GAGUUUGAUCCUGGCUCAGAACGAACGCUGGCGGCGUGCUUAACACAUGCAAGUCGAACGUGAUUGGAAGCUUGCUUCCAUGAAAGUGGCGCACGGGUGAGUAACGCGUGGAUAACCUGCCCUGGUAUCCGGAGUAACAUCUCGAAAGGGGUGCUAAUACCGGAUAAGCCUACGGAGCCUUCGGUCUCUGCAGGAAAAGGUGGCCUCUAUUUAUAAGCUACCGUAUCAGGAUGGGUCCGCGUACCAUUAGCUAGUUGGUGGGGUAAAAGCCCACCAAGGCGACGAUCUGUAGCUGGUCUGAGAGGACGACCAGCCACACUGGAACUGAGACACGGUCCAGACUCCUACGGGAGGCAGCAGUGGGGAAUUUUGGACAAUGGGCGCAAGCCUGAUCCAGCAAUGCCGCGUGCAGGAUGAAGGCCUUCGGGUUGUAAACUGCUUUUGUACGGAACGAAACGGUCUGCCUUAAUACGGUGGGCUAAUGACGGUACCGUAAGAAUAAGCACCGGCUAACUACGUGCCAGCAGCCGCGGUAAUA
rnacentral:rRNA from 1 species